rnacentral:rRNA from 1 species
GACGUAGGGAGCGAGCGUUGUCCGGAUUCAUUGGGCGUAAAGAGCGCGCAGGCGGUUUGGUAAGUCGGAUGUGAAAACCCGGGGCUCAACCCCGGGCGUGCAUCUCGAUACUGCCCGACUAGAGGUAGGUAGGGGAGAUCGGAAUUCCUGGUGUAGCGGUGAAAUGCGCAGAUAUCAGGAGGAAUACCAAAGGCGAAGGCAGUGUCCUGGGGAGUGUCUGACGCUCAGGCGCGAAAGCUAGGGGAGCGAUCAGG